AAAGGGAAUAGCCUAAACUUGAGCGGCGUGCCGCUUGAGGGUUGUAGGACUGCAUUUAGAAAUCAUCAUCAAGUAAAAUCAUCUGGAAAGUUGAGCCAUAGAGGGUGAUAGCCCCGUAAACAAAAAUUGAUGAGGACGAGCAGUAUCCUGAGUAAGGCGGGACCGGAGGAAUCCUGCCUGAAUCUGCCAGCACCAUCUGGUAAGGCUAAAUACUCCUCAGACACCGAUAGUGAACCAGUACCGUAAGGGAAAGGUGAAAAGCACCCUAAACAAGGGAGUGAAAUAGUACCUGAAACCGUGUGCUUACAAGCGGUCGGAGCUCAGCAAUGAGUGACGGCGUGCCUUUUGCAUAAUGAGCCUACGAGUUGCUCCUCACUGGCGAGGUUAAGUUCAUAUUUAACGGAGCCGUAGCGAAAGCGAGUCCAAAUAGGGCGCUUAGUCAGUGGGGGCAGACGCGAAACUUUGUGAUCUAUCCAUGAGCAGGUUGAAGGCGGGGUAACACCCACUGGAGGACCGAACCCAUUAACGUUGAAAAGUUCUGGGAUGACUUGUGGAUAGGGGUGAAAGGCCAAUCAAACUGAGAGAUAGCUCGUUCUCCCCGAAAUGUUUUUAGGAACAGCCUCGGAUAUAGAAGUAUGAUAGAGGUAGAGCUACUGAUUGGGCUAGGGGGCUUCACCGCCUACCAAACCCUGACAAACUCCGAAUGCUAUCAUAUAUCUGUGGCAGUGAGGCUGCGGGCGCUAAGGUCCGUGGCCGAGAGGGAAAUAACCCAGACUAUCAAUUAAGGCCCCUAAGUAUAUGUUAAGUUAAUCAAACGAAGUUCGAAUCCUAUGACAGCCAGGAUGUUGGCUUAGAAGCAGCCAUUCAUUUAAAGAGUGCGUAACAGCUCACUGGUCUAAGGCAGAUAUGCGCGGAAAAUAUAACGGGGCUUAAGCAUAGUACCGAAGCUACGGAAUACAUUAAUUGUAUUGGUAGGAGAGCGUUCUUAUCAGCGCUGAAGUCAAAUUGUAAGAUUUGGUGGAGCGGUAAGAAGUGAGAAUGCUGGAACGAGUAAACCAUAAGAUAGGUGAAAAUCCUAUCCACCGAAAGAGCAAGGUUUCCUACGCAACGAUUUUCGACGUAGGGUUAGUCGGUCCUAAGCCGAGGCCAAUGGCGUAGGCGAUGGACAACAGGUUAAUAUUCCUGUACUAGUAUUAUUGUUCUAGAUAGAUGACGCAUUGGGAUAGUAGUAGCGGUCUGGUGAUUAUGACCGUCUAAGUGUAAUAAGAGGCACGAGUGAAAUGUCUGGUAACAGAUAAAUUACUAUGAGUUCUAGUGACUGGAAAAGCCUAUCUAGGUAUAGAUAAUGCUAUCCGUACCGCAAACCGACACAGGUGCUCAGGUCGAGUAGACCAAGGUGUACGAGAGAACCCUUGUUAAGGAACUCGGCAAAAUAGCGGCCGUAACUUCGGGAGAAGGCCCGCCUAGAGUUAAUUCUUUAGGCCACAGCAAAAGAGUCCAAGCAACUGUUUACCAAAAACACAGGUCUCUGCUAAAGCGAAAGCUGAUGUAUAGGGACUGACGCCUGCCCAGUGCUGGAAGGUUAACAGGAGAUGUGAUUUAGCAUCGAAUCGAAGCCCCAGUGAACGGCGGCCCUAACUAUAAGGGUCCUAAGGUAGCGAAAUUCCUUGUCUGGUAAGUUCAGACCCGCACGAAUGGCGUAAUGAUUUGGACACUGUCUCAACAAGGGACUCGGUGAAAAUGCAGUAGCGGUGAAGAUGCCGUUUUCCCGCACCAAGACGGUAAGACCCCGUGAAGCUUUACUACAACUUGGCAUUGUUUUUGAUCUAUUUAUGUGUAGUAUAGGAGGAAGACAUUGAAGCAAACACGCUAGUGAUUGUGGAGUCAGCAAGUGAAAUACCUCCCUUAAAUAUAUUAAAGACUUAAUCUAUAGCCGUUAUCCGGCAUGGAGACAGUGUCUGGUGGGUAGUUUAACUGGGGCGGUUGCCUCCCAAAUAGUAACGGAGGCGUUCAAAGGUUGGCUAGCUACGGAU
rnacentral:rRNA from 1 species